rnacentral:rRNA from 1 species
AAUAUAUGGGAGGUCUUACCUGCCCAGUGACAAUAAGUUAAACGGCCGCGGUAUUUUGACCGUGCUAAGGUAGCGCAAUCACUUGUCUUUUAAAUGAAGACCUGUAUGAAUGGUGGAACGAGGGCUUAACUGUCUCCCUUCUCAGGUCAGUGAAAUUGAUCUGUCCGUGCAGAAGCGGAUCAUAAGCAUACAAGACGAGAAGACCCUUUGGAGCUUAAGACAUAAAGCCAACUGUGUCAAAAACCCAAAUCAAAAGGAGAUUAAACAAAACAGCACAACUGACUAACGUCUUCGGUUGGGGCGACCGCGGGGGAAAACAAAGCCCCCACGUGGAGUGGGAAAACUCCUAAAACCAAGAGAGACAUCUCUAAGUCACAGAACGUCUGACCAAAUGAUCCGACCACAUAGGCCGAUCAACGGACCAAGUUACCCUAGGGAUAACAGCGCAAUCCCCUCCAAGAGUCCAUAUCGACAAGGGGGUUUACGACCUCGAUGUUGGAUCAGGACAUCCUAAUGGUGCAGCCGCUAUUAAGGGUUCGUUUGUUCAACGAUUAAAGUCCUACGUGAUCU